rnacentral:rRNA from 1 species
CAAUAGCGUAUAUUAAAGUUGUUGCGGUUAAAAAGCUCGUAGUUGGAUUUCUGUGGUAGGCAGCCGGUCCACACUAUGUGUGAGUAUCUGGUUCGGCUACUGUAUCCUCCUGAGGAACGUUGGUGCGCUUCACUGCGUGGCACGGUAUUCAGGACUUUUACUUUGAGGAAAUUAGAGUGUUCACGGCAGGCGUUUGCCCUGAAUAUAUUAGCAUGGAAUAAUGAUAUAGGAUCCACGUCCUAUUUUGUUGGUUUCUAGGACGAGGAUAAUGAUUAAUAGGGAUAAUUGGGGGCAUUCGUAUUAACACGUCAGAGGUGGAAUUCUUGGAUUGUGUUACGACGAACUACUGCGAAAGCAUUUGCCAAGGAUGUUUUCAUUGA